rnacentral:rRNA from 1 species
ACGGAGGGUGCAAGCGUUAUUCGGAAUUACUGGGCGUAAAGCGCACGUAGGCGGUCCUGUAAGUCAGAUGUGAAAUCCCCGGGCUCAACCUGGGAACUGCAUCUGAAACUGGCAAGCUUGAGUAUCGUAGAGGGGGGUAGAAUUCCAGGUGUAGCGGUGAAAUGCGUAGAGAUCUGGAGGAAUACCAGUGGCGAAGGCGGCCACCUGGACGAAGACUGACGCUCAGGUGCGAAAGCGUGGGGAGCAAACAG